UCUUUGAUUCACAAACCUCCU
rnacentral:siRNA from 1 species